UCUCUCUUUCUUCUUCUCUUUCUCUUCCUUCUCUUUCUCUAACAUUGAGAUAAAAUUAUAAUCCCUAAUCUAAAUAAUUUUUGCGUUUCCGAAAGAAAUAUGAUUUCGGCGAAGUGAAAAUCGUUGCUCGGUGGAUCUGCUUCUCCUCUUUCUGCUUUUUAGGUUUUUGCAAAGAGGCUGUCCGAGGAAAAAAUGGAUGGUUUGAAAGAGUAGGUUUUGCACUAUGUCGGUGUUGGUUCGCGAUUUCAAAUUUGGAGUAGUAUGUCCUUUUGAUUGAUAACUCAAACAGCAGGUAAUGGUUAGUCUAGAG